rnacentral:rRNA from 1 species
UACGUAGGCAGCGAGCGUUGUUCGGAGUUACUGGGCGUAAAGGGUGUGUAGGCGGUUUGUUAAGUUUGGUGUGAAAUCUCCCGGCUCAACUGGGAGGGUGCGCCGAAUACUGAAUGACUUGGAGUGCGGGAGAGGAGAGUGGAAUUCCUGGUGUAGCGGUGAAAUGCGCAGAUAUCGGGAGGAACACCAAUGGCGAAGGCAGCUUGCUGGGACGGUACUGACGCUGAGGCGCGAAAGCGUGGGGAGCAAACAGG